rnacentral:lncRNA from 1 species
AAAAAAGGAAUAUGACGAAGAACUUAAUGUAGACAACAUUUUUAGCAGUUUUUUGAGAUAUGAUGAUGGCUCGAGAAGUGCAUACGAAGAUGAACGUAAUGAAGACAACACCAAGUCUUUGGGUUUAGCCAAACUAGAUGUUGGACCAUAUGUUAGCUUUGUAAUGAAUUUUAUUCUUAAAUUAAUUACUGUAUUGUCACGGACUUAGCUGGUUUUGCCUAAGUCGUGCGGCAUCCUUGCGUGUCCGUCCGCAAAGGUCAUCCUCCCCGAAGCCUCCCAUUGUCCCUUAGGACCAACAAAAGAGAGAACGGGUUAGAGAGAACGCCUCAAUCGGGAUCCACAAGCAAACAUCUCCGAAAAACACGUCAUAGACAAUGCAAAUUACAAACAAACUUUACAAGCUCUGAACAGUUGCACAACAAAGGGUAAAAUGGUCAAUUACAGACCGAAAAUCUCUCGCACGUGUCCACAUGACACAACCUUUAUUUACAAGCCUAAAGAGGCCACCAACCCAACUAAAAUGAGACUAUUAAGCCUUCGGCCGUCCCUCUACAUGCUGUACAAGGCAUGAACAUGCCAAAAGACACAGACAUACAUAAGCAUUACAUCAAACAUCUUGUUUAGAAGUUUGUUCGUGACAUUCUCCCCCACUUAUUCCUUCGACGUCCUCGUUGAAGCCUUUGUCGACACUGCAACUCCUCGCAUUUGCUGAGUCUUCAAUCUUCUGCUCCAGCUACAAUGCGCCUCUUAGCUCCUAGCUGUUCUCCGCUGCUGUUUUUGAGUAGUCGAACCUUUGAUCCGCCAUGUUGCUUCAACUCACCAAUGACUCUGACUAUGGUAUGGGGUUGGCUGAGUUGUGUUGAUCAUUGUUGAUUCCUGCGGAUCCCCCAAAUGAAGAAAAAGACCAUCCUUACUGCGCCAGUCUCUCAAAUUCCACAUGCUGCUUGAACUGGUUGGAUGCUUGUUGGAGCUUUAACGAGCAUCGUCUCGCAAACUUCUGAAGUUUUGGGUCCUUCCUCCACAGAAUUUGCUCAUUGACUCUUCUUUCACUUAGUUGUCACAUCCAAGUAGGUUCGCAUCACUUCCGCUUUCGAUUGGCAUUUCGUUGGGAAAUGAAGCGGACAAUCUACUCUCAGUAGCACUGAUCACCGUUGGUGAGGAUUUGACAACUAUUGUCUUCCAUUAUCUUCGAAGGGUCUUUGAACUUGUGCAGAGCUCCUCUGCUGGAUAGAUAAGAGAAUUAGGGUACUCGGUUUCGCCCAUUCUCUUAAGGGUUGAGAAGGUAAAGGUUACUUGACUUCGCUCGCCUCCUCGAGGUUGUACUCCAUGCAUCGAGCUGGUUACUAGCCUUCGCCUGCUCUUUGCUCACACUUCUGAAGCACUUGAAGUGUUUGUACUCCUUGCGUUGAGUUAGUUAUUGUGAUUCACCUUCUCAAUGCCAUCGAACUUCUGGAAUGCAGGAAGUUUUCACCCUAACUUGGAGUAAUUCUCUCAUAGGUUUGGUCGCCUCUGGGAUUGUACCGUCUUCUCCAUCAACCCUGUCGCCUACACCACUGAGUAGCAAAGGUACAAUACUGCGUAUUGCCUGCUUCGUUCCUUGGUUAUGCACUCUUACAUGACCCGAAGUCCUUCACUUUCGGCUAUCUUGAUGAGAAGCUCAUUGACACCGGUCUUACGAAGUUCCUCGGCCUCUACCCUUCAGCCUUGUCUCGGUACUUGGAGAUUGCCUCUGCAUGCUCCACCUCCUCGGCCCCUUUCACGACCAAGCGCUCUCCCUCAAUGAGAGCAAGGGAUCAAUGACUUUCACGGAAGUCCCGCCUCUGCGGUACCAUGGCGCUGCCAUGCCCAUGGCACUACUAUCCGUCGCCUCGCAUCUACAUCCCUUUUCUUCACAAUUAGUAGAUAUGCCUCUGUGACACUCUUCCGAGUCCACCUCCAUUCUAACUGAUGCUUGAUUUUGGGUAGCAACGUUCGCUUACUCGGCCUUGUCCUCUGACUUGCCGGGCUCCCUUAAGCGAAUAUGAGCUCUGGAGCAGUCCAACUCUCCAGCUGCUUCGAUCAUACCUCUGCAUGAUCAAGUCCCUCCCAUGGGACUCACUGGUACUUGCAUUCGAACUUUUCCCUUGGUGGAACACAGCCCCCAUAUGCUGAUGACCAAGGCUUUCAUUCGAUGCAAAAUUCGAUGCACUCACGGAAGACCCGCCUCUGCGGUACCAUGGCCUUCACUCCUUGAAUCCAUAGCUCUUGCCGUCGUGUUGUUCACCGAAGUGGAGCUUCCAGUAGCUUCCGAUCAUACCUCCGUAUGAUCUAGUCUCUCACAGGACUAUGUCGUGUGUAUCGCAUUGCCACGAACUGUUCCACCACGAUCUGCUGCACCAUGUCGCCUCCUGGUGACAUUUUCAUUGCAUUUUGAUCCUUGUGGAAUAAACUCGAAUUGUGAACCCUCCAUGUGUGGCCUCUGCCAAUACAUCGCAGGGUCUAUUCCACCUUUGAUUUUGUUCGCUCCUUUGGCAAUCGACCUUCAUCCACCCACUCUUGGGUUAUACCUAGAUGAAGCACCGCUCUAGGACAGUCCGUCGCCUAGUAGCUCCCGAAGUCCACCGACUUCACUGUAAUUUGUGCACUAUUGUCUGGAUCCUGGGCCUCUGCCCCUACCAGCACAAUCUCCGCUGCGCACCGCUUCUUUCAUGACAACUUGAAUGGCAACACUAUGGCAUAUUCUUCAAGAGUACCCGCCUCUGCGUCCUCUUGCCCCGUGCUAAAGCCUUCUAAACCCAACUUCGCUUCCGCAAAUUGAGUCGCCUUAGUUCCUCCAUCAAAUGCUCCUCCGAGAUAAGGUGCAUGUGCCCAGAAGCUCCCUUCAUCUUUGGCACCAUGCAAGAUGAGUCCUCUCUGAUAGAAUGAAUGACCCAUGGAACAACAUGAUCCUACUCUUGCCUCUGCAAGAGUUCAUGUCCUUGACCUCUGUCCAAGGAAAGCACUAUGCCUCCGCUCCAUGUUCUAUCUUCUAUGCUGGCUCCCUUCAUGCGGCUUGGGUACUUUGCCAAGUUACACCCAAGUUGCUCCGCUCCUCGUUUUUGCAUUGAGUUGAUGGUGGCCCUCGUGCCCACCAUUCCACGGGUCAGCCCUCCCUUGAGUCCGAUCUCCGCAUCGACUCCAAGUGUGCCUUCAUUUAAGUUGCUUUGGGUCGCUCCCCCACUUGAUCUCGCAAUGCAUCCACCAAUGCAUUCUCUCAAGCGAGAUCAUGCGACGACUUCUCGCCGCUUGCUCAGUCCAUUGAGCUUCGUGGAGUUGUUUGUUAAGGUACUCCUCCUCAACUUGUGAGGUCCGUCCCACAUGAUUCUCCCUCUGGAGAGCCGGGACUUAUCCCUCCUGGAUAACUGUCCCAUUGGAGCAACAUCUCUCUUCGUUUCGGAGACCACCAUCCCCUUGGACUACUCCGAUCUACUGAAUAAACUGUGCAUUGUUCUGCCUUCUGCAAACGCACUUGUUAGAUUGCGACUCCACGUCAAUACAGCCCCCGUUGCACCACUCAAGGCCUAGCAACAUGCUGAACUCGUUGCACACUUCAGCCUCCUACGGACGUAUCCUUCACAUGCCAAAGAGAAAGUUUCAAUGCUCCAUGGCGCCGAGUUUCGGUCGCCUUGGGAUGGCCACGAACAUUCUAUCGUCCGCAUACAAGCCCAUGCAUGAAUACCAAAUUCUUCGAGUUAGCAAUUCCCCUCACCUUUGUGAGCUUUGCAUAACUCUUUUGGUUGUUGAGCAACUCAUUCCACAUUGCAUAGUCUCAUCCUUUACCAAGCGCCUCGCUUGUCUUGAGCACUAUCAAGUAUAGUUGUCAACGUUGAGCCGUAGCUCAAACUCAACCAUCCCAACCUUUGUGCGCUCUGCAUUCUUCCAAGCUUGCCUGUUCUCGUGGUGCCUCUUGCGCGAAGGGUUGGCCAUUCCUCUGAAUGCCAAUGUCAGAUGCCCGCUCCUCCGAGUGACUCCUUUUCCCUACAUCUCCAUGCCCGUUUUCCCCCAAACGGUCGCGCGUGUGCUGACUGCCCUCAACGCAGCCCCGUUAGGUCCCCUACGUUUGCAUGCUAAGUGUUUCUAUGAGUGCUUGUCCCGCUCUGAUACCAUCUGUCACGGACUUAGCUGGUUUUGCCUAAGUCGUGCGGCACCCUUGCGUGUCCAUCCGCAAAGGUCAGCCUCCCCGAAGCCUCCCAUUGUCCCUUAGGACCAACAAAAGAGAGAACGGGUUAGAGAGNNNNNNNNNNNNNNNNNNNNCCAAUGUCAGAUGCCCGCUCCUCCGAGCGACUCCUUUUCCCUACAUCUCCAUGCCCGUUUUCCCCCAAACGGUCGCGCGUGUGCUGACUGCCCUCAACGCAGCCCCGUUAGGUCCCCUACGUUUGCAUGCUAAGUGUUUCUAUGAGUGCUUGUCCCGCUCUGAUACCAUCUGUCACGGACUUAGCUGGUUUUGCCUAAGUCGUGCGGCACCCUUGCGUGUCCAUCCGCAAAGGUCAGCCUCCCCGAAGCCUCCCAUUGUCCCUUAGGACCAACAAAAGAGAGAACGGGUUAGAGAGAACGCCUCAAUCGGGAUCCACAAGCAAACAUCUCCGAAAAACACGUCAUAGACAAUGCAAAUUACAAACAGACUUUACAAGCUCUGAACAGUUGCACAACAAAGGGUAAAAUGGUCCAUUACAGACUGAAAAUCUCUCGCAUGUGUCCACAUGACAUAACCUUUAUUUACAAGCCUAAAGAGGCCACCAACCCAACUAAAAUGAGACUAUUAAGCCUUUGGUCGUCCCUUUACAUGCUGUACAAGGCAUGAACAUGCCAAAAGACACGGACAUACAUAAGCAUUACAGCAAACAUCUUGUUUAGAAGUUUGUCCGUGACAGUAUGGUCCGUGCCUUUGGAGGGAAAAUAUACAAUUGGACGAUGUUAGAAGGGUAUAUAUGCAAAAAGCUUAGUACUUUUUGUGGAUAAGAUUAUACCAUAGUGGGCAUCUGUUUCUUAAAUAUUUUCACUAGUUAAUUCAUUGCAGUCUAUAUUAAAAUAAAUUUUUAGAUUUUUUGGGACAUCUUUAACUUUCUACUAAGAUUUUUACAAAUUGCAAUGUUGUAAUAUGUCUGCAUUAUGUAGCUCCAGAAGUUGGUUAUUUGUGUGGGCUCAUUUUAAUAUUAUUAGAUUUCAUUUGGGAAAAGAGAGAAGGUC